rnacentral:ncRNA from 1 species
AAUAAUACUAUGAAGAGAAAAGUAAGCUACAGGAAAUUAACAGAGAUAGAAUGUAUUAGCUGAAAGCAUUCUUUAAUGGAAUCUAGCUGAAAACCACCUCUGAGUGACUUUAAUAGAGCCCGGUAAUGCCGUUAUCCUAACUAAGUGGUUUAUUAAUAACAAAUUGGGUGGAACCGCGGGAAGAUACUCUCGUCCCUUUU